rnacentral:snRNA from 1 species
AAGGAAGGGUGCUUACUUCAGGAGCAAAACUGGAAUGUUACAGAGAACAACUUCCUGGCCCCUGUGCAAGGAUGUCACACAAAUUUAUGAAGUGAUCUAUACUUUU